rnacentral:rRNA from 1 species
UACGUAGGUCCCGAGCGUUGUCCGGAUUUAUUGGGCGUAAAGCGAGCGCAGGUGGUUUAUUAAGUCUGGUGUAAAAGGCAGUGGCUCAACCAUUGUAUGCAUUGGAAACUGGUAGACUUGAGUGCAGGAGAGGAGAGUGGAAUUCCAUGUGUAGCGGUGAAAUGCGUAGAUUUAUGGAGGAACACCGGUGGCGAAAGCGGCUCUCUGGCCUGUAACUGACACUGAGGCUCGAAAGCGUGGGGAGCAAACAGG